rnacentral:lncRNA from 1 species
UGGAAGAAAUUAUGUAUACCUAUGACAUUUGAGGACUUAUCCUUUUCUGGACAUCCUAAGUCUGAAUCGUCAAAUCAAAUACAGCAGUGAGCCAGUGAUAGCAAUUGCAAAUGUAAGGACCUUGGACGUCCCUCUGGAGAUGUUUAUAGACUCACCAAUUCUCAAGGCAGCGUCUGGGCUGAAGAGAGAAAAAAAUACUGGACCAGUUGACUAGGAGAAGUGAAAGAGAC